CAGAGUAGGGCCAGCGCGUCAAGUGCCGUCGGAUGGGAAGUUGCCGGCGGACGAAGGAGAACGCCUCCGCGGUGCUGGUGCCGCAUCCGCUGC
rnacentral:ncRNA from 1 species